CCAAACAGACCGUGAACAUGUCAUCCAUCCCGCACGUGGUUCUACCCGUGCAAGGCCCCCGACCUUUCCGAAGGAGAGGGGCCGCAAAAGAACCCACGGCGCCGAAGGCGUCAAGGAAAACUGAUAUUGCCUUGCUCGGGGCUGUGCUCGGCUUGCCGAGCACACCUCGUGCAGCGAUGCUAUCUUAAUCCACACGACUCUCGGCAACGGAUAUCUCGGCUCUCGCAUCGAUGAAGAACGUAGCAAAAUGCGAUACCUGGUGUGAAUUGCAGAAUCCCGCGAACCAUCGAGUUUUUGAACGCAAGUUGCGCCCGAGGCCUUCUGGUUGAGGGCACGCCUGCCUGGGCGUCACGCCAAAAGACACUCCCAACCCAAACCUGGGGAAGGACGUGGUGUUUGGCUCCCCGUGCUGCAAGGCGCGGUGGGCCGAAGUUUGGGCUGCCGGCAUAACUUGUCGGGCACCGCACGUGGUGGGCGACAUCUAGUUGUUCUCGGUGCAGUGUCCUGGCAUGCAGCUGGCUUAUUGGCCUCAAGGACCCAUACACGACCGAAGCGUUUAGGCGCUCGGACCGCGACCCCAGGUCAGACGGGACUACCCGCUGAGUUUAAGCAUAUCAAUAAGCCGGAGGAA
rnacentral:rRNA from 1 species